CUACGGGAGGCAGCAGUUGGGAAUCUUGCACAAUGGGGGAAACCCUGAUGCAGCGACGCCGCGUGGAGGAAGAAGGGUCUAGGCUCGUAAACUCCUUUUUCAGGGAAAGACUUAGGACGGUACCCUGAGAAUAAGCUCCGGCUAACUACGUGCCAGCAGCCGCGGUAAGACGUAGGGAGCGAGCGUUGUCCGGAUUUACUGGGCGUAAAGAGCACGUAGGCGGUCUGUUAAGUGAGAAGUGAAAUCUCCAGCGCUCAACGCGGAAACGGCUUUUCAUACUGGCAGACUUGAGGGAUGCAGAGGCAAGUAGAAUUCCUGGUGUACCGGUGACAUGGGUUGAUAUCAGGAGGAAUACCAAUGGCGAAGGCAGCUUGCUGGGCAUCAUCUGACGCUGAGGUGCGAAAGCGUGGGUAGCAAACAGGAUUAGAUACCCUGGUAGUCC
rnacentral:rRNA from 1 species